rnacentral:rRNA from 1 species
AUUGAACGCUGGCGGCAGGCCUAACACAUGCAAGUCGAGCGGUAGAGAGGUGCUUGCAUCUCUUGAGAGCGGCGGACGGGUGAGUAAUGCCUAGGAAUCUGCCCUAGUGGUGGGGGAUAACGUUCGGAAACGGACGCUAAUACCGCAUACGUCCUACGGGAGAAAGCGGGGGAUCUUCGGACCUCGCGCCAUUAGAUGAGCCUAGGUCGGAUUAGCUAGUUGGUGAGGUAAUGGCUCACCAAGGCGACGAUCCGUAACUGGUCUGAGAGGAUGAUCAGUCACACUGGAACUGAGACACGGUCAGACUCCUACGGGAGGCAGCAGUGGGGAAUAUUGGACAAUGGGCGAAAGCCUGAUCCAGCCAUGCCGCGUGUGUGAAGAAGGUACUUCGGAUUGUAAAGCACUUAAGUU